AGGUAGGAACGGUUAACAAAUACACAUUUCGAGAUGGAAGAAACACUGUCCUCUGGCAGGUGGCCAGGAAGACCCCUAGUCUCAUUCCUGAGGAGGGUCUAGGGGUCUCAGGGCAAGGGUGUCUUCCAGGAGCGGCUUGGGACCAGGGGUACAUUCCCAACUCCUGACACCCCCCCAUGACCAUCGAGCCGUUCCUACUAGUGACGACGGCGUCUUCCUAUGCUACGCCUGGCGAACCCGAAGGCUGGCAGGGGCCAGCGAGGCCCACAGCUGACGAGAAAAGACCCAGUUCAGCCCUGUUCCAGCAAAUCCCAACAGCUCCACACCGGGGAAAAGGUAAGAUGGAGCGAGCCCCGGGCCCCCAUGUGACACCCAGGGGGGCCCUCCCGCAACCCCGAGCCCCACUGCUCACCUGGACGAAGAAGUAGAUGAGGUCCAGCGGUGGGAUGAUGAUGGCGGCGAUGGGCGUGGCCAGCAGGAUGAUGAUGCAAGCGCCAAGGACGUUGAACAGGGAGCCCAUGAACAUCUUGAUGACCUGGGGGAUCAUCGAGUCCACCGUGUCCAGCUCCUUGGAGAAGCGGUUCACGAGGUUCCCGCUGGGCGUCCGCUCGAAGAAGCUCAUGGGCGACCGGAGCACGUUGUGCAGCAGGUCCAGGUGCAGCCGGCGGGAGGCGUAGAUCCCCCCGAUGGACACGGCCAUGGAGUAGCCGAACACCGAGACACCUGCAGACAGGCUCAGGGGCCAUUUCAUCGGGAUGGAGACGCUCACAAAGGCGGGCAGGGGCUCAAACGCCUGGCCAGAGCCAACGCUGCCGGAUCACGUCUUCGCCGCCUACCAGCUGUGGGGCCUUCCCGCAAGUCACCCCAGUGUCCUGAUCUGUGUAGCGCUUGUUCAAUGUCAAGGGCAAUGUGCUUGGGGUACAGGAAGUGCUCAAAUAUAUCAAAUGGUCAUUGUCCGUACUUCUGUAUCACAGACACAGA